GGAAGAGGUUAAUCAAUCUGCUGGUGAAGAGAGUGAAAUGAGGAAAAACUUAAAGCAUAAGUUUGGGAGGCCUCCCAAGGCUCGGGAUAAAGAUGGGUGUGAGAAAAAGUGGGGUGAGGUGGAAAAGGAAGGGAUUGGUUUAUCUGCUAAUCAUCAGACAAAGAAUGAAGAGAUUGAAAAAUUUAAGUCUAGGCGUGGGAGACCGCCCAAGGCUCAAGGGAGUGAUCUUUCUAAGAAGAAAGGGGUUGAGGUGGAAGAGGAGGAGUGUGAUCAAUCUGCCGGUGAAAUGAUUGAACAGCCAAAUAAUGAAGUGAGGGAAAACUCAAAGCUUAAGCGUGGGGGACAGUCAAAGGCACAGAAGAGUGAUGGAUCUGUAAUAAAGAUGGUUGAAGUGGCAAAUGAAGAGUCUGAACAACCUGCUUGUAAAGAGGGUGAU
rnacentral:misc_RNA from 1 species